rnacentral:lncRNA from 1 species
GACCCCCCAAAGGACAAACAUUCCUGUGCUGCUCCAGCGACAUUAAUCAGGAUUUAUUCCACAUUCUGCUCCUGGGGUGGGUUCCCUCAGCAAUGCUCCCAGGGUAGAUCCCAGUGCUGGAGGGUCCCUCCCCAAGAAACAAACAAAGCGUCGCUCCAGGAACGAUGACCAGGAUUUAUUCCACAUCCCUCUCCUGGAGUGGGACCCUGGGGACGCCCAGGAUGAUCCCAGAGCAGAUCCCAGUGCUGGGGGCACAGGGACUCCGCCCGCGGGACGAACACAGCGUCGCUCCGGGAGCAGUGACCAGGAUUUAUUCCACACCCCGCCCCGGGGGAUCCCCACGGCAGAUCCCAGCGGGAUUCCCGGUCCGGGCAGCAAGGCAGAGGCUGCUUCUCCUCCGGAAUUCCCGGCUCCAAGCCCUCGGGAGCCUCUGGCUAAAUAGACUCGAUCUGCUUGCGGACCUUCUCCAGCGCCCGGCGGUCCAGCACGCGCUGCCGCAGCACCACCAGCGCCGCCGCCGCCACCGCCACGCCCAGAGCCGAGCCAACGAAGCGCCAGCCCCCCCCCCCCCCCCCCCCCCCCCCCCCCCCCCCCCCCCCCCCCCCCCCCCCCCCCCCCCCCCCCCCCCCCCCCCCCCCCCCCCCCCCCCCCCCCCCCCCCCCGGGAAUGACCGAUCCCGUGGGAGCGACCGAUCCCCGGGAACGACCAAUCCCGUGGGAGCGUCCGAUCCCCGGGAACGACCGAUCCCGUGGGAGCGACCGAUCCCUGGGAGCGACCGAUCCCUGGGAACGACUGAUCCCCAGGAACGACCGAUCCCAUGGGAGCGACUGAACCCCCGGGAAUGACCGAUCCCCAGGAACGACCGAUCCCUGGGACCGACCGAUCCCCAGGAAUGACUGGCCCUGAUCCACUGGGAAUGACCGGCCCCAAUCCCACAGAAGUUCCCAGCCCCAAUCCCACAGGAGCUCCCAGCCCCAAUCCCACAGGAGUUCUCAGUCCCAAUCCCUCAGGAGUUCUCAGUCCCAAUCCCACAGGAGUUCCCAGCCCCAAUCCCACAGGAGUUCCCAGCCCUGAUCCCCCAGGAUUGACGAGCCCCAGUCCCCCGGGAAUUCCCCACCUCUUGUACUCAUCCCGCUGGGACGAGGCGCAGUUGAUCCUCUCGAUGAAACCGGUGGAGCCGCAGGCCGGGAUCGUCUUCUGCCAACGAGGGAACGGAGGGGUCGGUCCGGGAGAGACCCCCCGAGCCCCGGGGCAAGGGGGACCCCGGGGGACCCCGCUCACCAUCUCGAAGCCGGAGCACCGCGUGCACUCCUGGGCAACCACGAACUGCUCCACUCGCCAGCACGGCGUGGCCACCGCGGGGCUCGCUGCGGGGGGACGGCGUCAGGGGGGACCGGAGAGACCCCAGACCCGGAGCAACGCGCCGGUACCGGACAGAGCCCCGGAGCAACAACCCGGUACCGGACAGACCGCAGAGCAACACCCCGGUACCGGACAGAGCCCCGGAGAAACACCCCCGGUACCGGACAGACCCCGGA